rnacentral:tRNA from 1 species
GCCGACGUAGCUCAGGGGUAGAGCAGUCGACUUGUAAUCGGCAGGUCGUGGGUUCAAAUCCCACCGUCGGCUCCA